CAGGUGGUGCAUGGUUGUCGUCAGCUCGUGUUGUGAAAUGUUGGGUUAAGUCCCGCAACGAGCGCAACCCUUAUCGUUUGUUGCCAUCGUUUCGUUGGGGAACCUAAAGGAAACGGCCGGGAAUAACCGGAAGAAGGGGGGGGAGAACUCCAAUCCUUCUGGCCCUUUAGAACUGGGGCUCACCCCUGGUUCCAUGGGCGGUACCACGAAGCACGAACCUCGGAUGUUUAACUAAACCCCAAAAACCGUUCUCAAUUCCGAAUGGAAGCUGCCACUCCCCCUCCUGAAAUCCGAAAUCGC
rnacentral:rRNA from 1 species